rnacentral:miRNA from 1 species
UAAUAAAAUCUCGACUAUUAU